UUCGAACUCUCUCCCCGUCCUCUCUUUCGAAGCGCCAACGUCGUCACCCAACCCGGCCACUCUCGGAGUUCUCCAUUGCCGCCAUUGACAAGAAGCUUCUGCGUUUUCUCAUUCCAUAUAGCUAAACAAAAAGUACCUGGUUUGGCAAGUGAUUUGGUGAAGAAGGGAAGGCACAUUCAUAUUGAUGAGAAAUCCACUUGAUAUUUUGAUUAAUGAACUUGUCUCAGCCAUCCUACGACAAGGUGAUUCCUGCAACCUUUUAUGAAUUGGGCUUUUCUGAAUUGGGUAUCUGUUUACAACGAGCUGAAAGAGUUGGGAAGACCCCCACCUAUCACUGACGCUGCUGAACUUCAAAAGGAUCUUGAGGUGUUACUGCUUUCUAAAUUACCACUUAUAUUGUGGGAAUGGUAUUUACCAUUUGCAUGAACAAAAACGAUGUUGUGAAUGACAAAUACAUUCAUUCUGGGUUUUAAAUCCUUGUGGAGUGUAAAAGUUUUGUUUCCUUAAAAUGUCAUUACCUUCUUAGAGGGA